rnacentral:rRNA from 1 species
AGAGUUUGAUCCUGGCUCAGAACGAACGCUGGCGGCGCGCCUAAUACAUGCAAGUCGAACGAGAAUGUGUAGCAAUACACAUGUACAGUGGCGAACGGGUGAGGAAUACAUGGGUAACCUACCCUCGAGUGGGGAAUAACUAGCCGAAAGGUUAGCUAAUACCGCGUACGCUUCCCGGACUGCGGUCUGGGAAGGAAAGCGAUACCGUGGGUAUCGCGCUCUUGGAUGGGCUCAUGCCCUAUCAGCUUGUUGGUGAGGUAACGGCUCACCAAGGCUUCGACGGGUAGCUGAUCUGAGAGGAUGAUCAGCCACACUGGCACUGCGACACGGGCCAGACUCCUACGGGAGGCAGCAGUAAGGAAUAUUGCGCAAUGGGCGAAAGCCUGACGCAGCGACGCCGCGUGGGGGAUGAAGGUCUUCGGAUUGUAAACCCCUUUCGGGAGGGAAGAUGGGAUGGGGUAACCCAUUCGGACGGUACCUCCAGAAGCAGCCACGGCUAACUUCGUGCCAGCAGCCGCGGUAAUACGAAGGUGGCAAGCGUUGUUCGGAUUUACUGGGCGUACAGGGAGCGUAGGCGGUUGGAUAAGCCCUCCGUGAAAUCU